ACAGAAUACUAUUCAGCCUUAAAAAAGAAUGAAAUUCAGGCCGGGCAUGGUGGCUCAUGCCUGUAAUCCCAGCACUUUGGGAGGCCAAGGUGGGUGGAGAACAUCAUGAACAUCUCUUACACCAAGCAUGUUAGAAUCACCUUAGGAAAGUUCAAAAAUUCCCCAAGCCCAGACCUCAAGCCAGACCAAUUAAAUCUGAAUCUACAGGGGUGGAACCCAUAUAUCUAAGUAUUUUUUUAAAAAACAGCUCCUCAG
rnacentral:lncRNA from 10 species